rnacentral:rRNA from 1 species
CGGAACGUGUCCUGUUGUGGGGGAGUAACUGAUCGAAAGAUCAGCUAAUACCGCAUGAGACCUGAGGGUGAAAGCGGGGGAUCGCAAGACCUCGCGCGACAGGAGCGGCCGAUGUCUGAUUAGCUAGUUGGUGAGAUAAAAGCUUACCAAGGCGACGAUCAGUAGCUGGUCUGAGAGGAUGAUCAGCCACAUUGGGACUGAGACACGGCCCAGACUCCUACGGGAGGCAGCAUG